rnacentral:rRNA from 1 species
UACAGAGGUCCCAAGCGUUGUUCGGAAUUACUGGGCGUAAAGGGCUUGUAGGUGGCCAACUAAGUCAGACGUGAAAUCCCUCGGCUUAACCGGGGAACUGCGUCUGAUACUGGAUGGCUUGAGUGUGGAGAGGGGGUGGAAUUCCGCGUGUAGCAGUGAAAUGCGUAGAGAUGCGGAGGAACACCGAUGGCGAAGGCAGCCCCCUGGGCUAACACUGACGCUGGAGGAGCGAAAGCAUGGGGAGCGAACAGG